GUGCUUCUCUAGAGUUCUUCUAGUUUAACCUGAGGGGUCAGGUUAACUGACUGAGGGGCCAGGGUCAGAGAAAAGGGUAUCUUUUCUCCCUGGUCACAAGGCUGUAAGUAUGGAAGCCCAGCAUCAAAGAGCCAUGCCCCCACCUAAGAAAGAAGUUGUUCUAAGGAAAAUGAAACCAGUAUACAGACAGCAGGAUGGAACAAUAGUCAAAUGCUUUCGAUGUGCUCAACACAAUGCUAGGCACAGAUGAAUAAGGGUCUGUUCCAAGAAGACACAGAAUGGGAGAAAUGGUCAAAAAUAAAGAUCUGCAAGAAAUACAUCUACCAGCUGGGUGCAGUUGAACAAAAUCAUUACAGGAUUAGCAGUUUUCUGACCCACUUACUAAAAAGAAGCUGAAUCACUGAAUUGAGACCCCAGGGAAAUGCAGAUUUAUACCUUUGAUGUAUUUCUUGAUUUUUCUUAAAUUAAAUUCUAU
rnacentral:lncRNA from 1 species